rnacentral:rRNA from 1 species
CCUACGGGAGGCUGCAGUCGAGAAUCAUUCACAAUGGGGGAAACCCUGAUGGUGCGACGCCGCGUGGGGGAAUGAAGGUCUUCGGAUUGUAAACCCCUGUCAUGUGGGAGCAAAUUAAAAAGAUAGUACCACAAGAGGAAGAGACGGCUAACCCUGUGCCAGCAGCCGCGGUAAUACAGAGGUCUUAAGCGUUGUUCGGAAUCACUGGGCGUAAAGCGUGCGUAGGCUGUUUCGUAAGUCGUGUGUGAAAGGCGGGGGCUCAACCCGCGGACGGCACAUGAUACUGCGAGACUAGAGUAAUGGAGGGGGAACCGGAAUUCUCGGUGUAGCGGUGAAAUGCGUAGAUAGCGAGAGGAACACUCGUGGCGAAGGCGGGUUCCUGGACAUUAACUGACGCUGAGGCACGAAGGCCAGGGGAGCGAAAGGGAUUAGAUACCCGAGUAGUC